GUGAAGCCCAGCUUGCUGGGUGGAUCAGUGGCGAACGGGUGAGUAACACGAGAGCAACCUGCCCCUGACUCUGGGAUAAGCGCUGGAAACGGCGUCUAAUACUGGAUAUGUGACGUGACCGCAUGGUCUGCGUUUGGAAAGAUUUUUCGGUUGGGGAUGGGCUCGCGGCCUAUCAGCUUGUUGGUGAGGUAAUGGCUCACCAAGGCGUCGACGGGUAGCCGGCCUGAGAGGGUGACCGGCCACACUGGGACUGAGACACGGCCCAGACUCCUACGGGAGGCAGCAGUGGGGAAUAUUGCACAAUGGGCGCAAGCCUGAUGCAGCAACGCCGCGUGAGGGAUGACGGCCUUCGGGUUGUAAACCUCUUUUAGCAGGGAAGAAGCGAAAGUGACGGUACCUGCAGAAAAAGCGCCGGCUAAYUACGUGCCAGCAGCCGCGGUAAUACGUAGGGCGCAAGCGUUAUCCGGAAUUAUUGGGCGUAAAGAGCUYGUAGGCGGUUUGUCGCGUCUGCUGUGAAAUCCCGAGGCUCAACCUCGGGCCUGCAGUGGGUACGGGCAGACUAGAGUGCGGUAGGGGAGAUUGGAAUUCCUGGUGUAGCGGUGGAAUGCGCAGAUAUCAGGAGGAACACCGAUGGCGAAGGCAGAUCUCUGGGCCGUAACUGACGCUGAGGAGCGAAAGGGUGGGGAGCAAACAGGCUUAGAUACCCUGGUAGUCCACCCCGUAAACGUUGGGAACUAGUUGUGGGGUCCAUUCCACGGAUUCCGUGACGCAGCUAACGCAUUAAGUUCCCCGCCUGGGGAGUACGGCCGCAAGGCUAAAACUCAAAGGAAUUGACGGGGACCCGCACAAGCGGCGGAGCAUGCGGAUUAAUUCGAUGCAACGCGAAGAACCUUACCAAGGCUUGACAUAUACGAGAACGGGCCAGAAAUGGUCAACUCUUUGGACACUCGUAAACAGGUGGUGCAUGKUUGUCGUCAGCUCGUGUCGUGAGAUGUUGGGUUAAGUCCCGCAACGAGCGCAACCCUCGUUCUAUGUUGCCAGCMCGUAAUGGUGGGAACUCAUGGGAUACUGCCGGGGUCAACUCGGAGGAAGGUGGGGAUGACGUCAAAUCAUCAUGCCCCUUAUGUCUUGGGCUUCACGCAUGCUACAAUGGCCGGUACAAAGGGCUGCAAUACCGCGAGGUGGAGCGAAUCCCAAAAAGCCGGUCCCAGUUCGGAUUGAGGUCUGCAACUCGACCUCAUGAAGUCGGAGUCGCUAGUAAUCGCAGAUCAGCAACGCUGCGGUGAAUACGUUCCCGGGUCU
rnacentral:rRNA from 1 species